CUUCCGUAGGUGAACCUGCGGAAGGAUCAUUACCGAGUGCGGGCUGCCUCCGGGCGCCCAACCUCCCACCCGUGACUACCUAACACUGUUGCUUCGGCGGGGAGCCCCCCAGGGGCGAGCCGCCGGGGACCACUGAACUUCAUGCCUGAGAGUGAUGCAGUCUGAGCCUGAAUACAAAUCAGUCAAAACUUUCAACAAUGGAUCUCUUGGUUCCGGCAUCGAUGAAGAACGCAGCGAACUGCGAUAAGUAAUGUGAAUUGCAGAAUUCAGUGAAUCAUCGAGUCUUUGAACGCACAUUGCGCCCCCUGGCAUUCCGGGGGGCAUGCCUGUCCGAGCGUCAUUGCUGCCCUCAAGCCCGGCUUGUGUGUUGGGUCGUCGUCCCCCCCGGGGGACGGGCCCGAAAGGCAGCGGCGGCACCGUGUCCGGUCCUCGAGCGUAUGGGGCUUUGUCACCCGCUCGAUUAGGGCCGGCCGGGCGCCAGCCGGCGUCUCCAACCUUAUUUUUCUCAGGUUGACCUCGGAUCAGGUAGGGAUACCCGCUGAACUUAAGCAUAUCAAUAAGCGGAGGAACAUUAC
rnacentral:rRNA from 1 species